rnacentral:misc_RNA from 1 species
UUUGUUCUAUUGGUUCUACAUCACUACCUUAGAUACUAGUCCCCUCCGCCUAGCUAUUUUAUAUAUGCUAAGAUGAGAAAUUUAGAAUAUAACUAUAAAGCUGCACAAAGUGACCACAAUUAAGGGUCAAAAGUAAAGAACAAAUUAGAAAAGGAACAAGAGUCUGCAAAUUAUGGCCAGCAUUGACAAAUGAAGAUCAAUGUAUGAAUAAAUUAUUAAGAAAAUAAUAAAAUUAAAAUUUAUAGACCUUAUAUUUAACACGAGCUCAUAAUUUAUUUGGCAGCUUCCUUCACCUCUGUCUCUCUCAUAUCAUUUUACAUGAUAGAUCAAUG